rnacentral:ribozyme from 13 species
AAAAAAAAAAAAAAGUUACAUAUUCUUUUGCAAGAGAAUUGUGUGUUAAAUAAUAUGGGUUUUUUUUUUUUUUUUUUCCGGCGUUAAUUGGUGUCUUCUUU